GGCCAGUUAGCUCAGUCGGUUAGAGCGUGGUGCUGACAACACCAACAGGGUUCAAUCCCCGUUUGGUCC
rnacentral:tRNA from 1 species